rnacentral:ncRNA from 1 species
CAGCCAACGGGACGCAACGACCCCUGGAUCAGCAAACGGUCGCCAUCGCAUGACCUCACGGUCAUGACGAGGCCCAGGGCGAGCGAGAGGCGAGACCGACCCGGGGUUG